GCCGAGAUGGCAGAGUGGUCAAAUGCACCUGUCUGUAAAACAGGCGCCCUUGCGGCUACGUAGGUUCGAAUCCUACUCUCGGCA
rnacentral:tRNA from 1 species